rnacentral:misc_RNA from 1 species
UCCGAGUUGACCCCGGCAGUCUCUCACGAGUCCCCACCAUUACGUGCUGGCAACAUGAGACAAGGGUUGCGCUCGUUGCGGGACUUAACCCAACAUCUCACGACACGAGCUGACGACAGCCAUGCACCACCUGCACACAGGCCACAAGGGAACCGAUAUCUCUACCGGCGUCCUGUGCAUGUCAAACCCAGGUAAGGUUCUUCGCGUUGCAUCGAAUUAAUCCACAUGCUCCGCCGCUUGUGCGGGCCCCCGUCAAUUUCUUUGAGUUUUAGCCUUGCGGCCGUACUCCCCAGGCGGGGUACUUAAUGCGUUAGCUACGGCACGGAACCCGUCGAUAGAGUCCCACACCUAGUGCCCAACGUUUACGGCGUGGACUAC